UCAGCAGCCGCGGUAAUACGUAGGGUGCGAGCGUUGUCCGGAAUUACUGGGCGUAAAGAGCUCGUAGGUGGUUUGUCGCGUUGUUCGUGAAAACCUGAGGCUUAACCUUGGGCGUGCGGGCGAUACGGGCAGACUGGAGUACUGCAGGGGAGACUGGAAUUCCUGGUGUAGCGGUGGAAUGCGCAGAUAUCAGGAGGAACACCGGUGGCGAAGGCGGGUCUCUGGGCAGUAACUGACGCUGAGGAGCGAAAGCGUGGGGAGCGAACAGGAUUAGAUACCCUGGUAGUCCACGCCGUAAACGGUGGGUACUAGGUGUGGGUUUCCUUCCUUGGGAUCCGUGCCGUAGCUAACGCAUUAAGUACCCCGCCUGGGGAGUACGGCCGCAAGGCUAAAACUUAAAGGAAUUGGCGGGGGA
rnacentral:rRNA from 1 species